rnacentral:rRNA from 1 species
AGAGUUUGAUCAUGGCUCAGAACGUACGCUGGCGGCACGCCUAAUACAUGCAAGUCGAACGAAGUAGCAAUACUUAGUGGCAGACGGGUGAGUAACAUGUAGGUAUCUACCCUUUGGCCUGGAAUAACACGAGGAAACUUGUGCUAAUACCGGAUAAGUCUUUACGGAGAAAGCUUUAUGCACCAUUGGAUGAGCCUGCACUUGAUUAGUUUGUUGGUGGGGUAAUGGCCUACCAAGACUUUGAUCAAUAGCUGAUUUGAGAGGAUGAUCAGCCACAUUGGGACUGAGACACGGCCCAAACUCCUACGGGAGGCAGCAGUGGGGAAUCUUGCACAAUGGAGGAAACUCUGAUGCAGCGAUGCCGCGUGAGUGAAGAAGGCCUUUGGGUUGUAAAGCUCUUUCGUCGGGGAAGAAAAUGACUGUACCCGAAUAAGAAGGUCCGGCUAACUUCGUGCCAGCAGCCGCGGUAAUACGAAGGGACCUAGCGUAGUUCGGAAUUACUGGGCUUAAAGAGUUCGUAGGUGGUUGAAAAAGUUGGUGGUGAAAUCCCAGAGCUUAACUCUGGAACUGCCAUCAAAACUUUUCAGCUAGAGUUUGAUAGAGGAAAGCAGAAUUUCUAGUGUAGAGGUGAAAUUCGUAGAUAUUAGAAAGAAUACCAAUUGCGAAGGCAGCUUUCUGGAUCAUUACUGACACUGAGGAACGAAAGCAUGGGUAGCGAAGAGGAUUAGAUACCCUCGUAGUCCAUGCCGUAAACGAUGUGUGUUAGACGUUGGAAAUUUAUUUUCAGUGUCGCAGCGAAAGCGAUAAACACACCGCCUGGGGAGUACGACCGCAAGGUUAAAACUCAAAUGAAUUGACGGGGACCCGCACAAGUAGUGGAGCAUGUGGUUUAAUUCGAAGAUACGCGCAGAACCUUACCAACACUUGACAUGUUCGUCGCGACUUUAAGAGAUUAAAGUUUUCGGCUCGGCCGGACGAAACACAGGUGCUGCAUGGCUGUCGUCAGCUCGUGUCGUGAGAUGUUGGGUUAAGUCCCGCAACGAGCGCAACCCUCACUUUUAGUUGCCAUCAUUAAGUUGGGCACUCUGAAAGAACUGCCAGUGAUAAGCUGGAGGAAGGUGGGGAUGACGUCAAGUCCUCAUGGCCCUUACGUGUUGGGCUACACACGUGCUACAAUGGUAUUUACAAAAGGAAGCAAAACGGCGACGUUUAGCAAAUCCUGAAAAGAUACCUCAGUUCGGAUUGCACUCUGCAACUCGAGUGCAUGAAGCUGGAAUUACUAGUAAUCGUGGAUCAGCGUGCCACGGUGAAUGCGUUCCCGGGUUCUUGUACACACCG